AUUGAAUGCUGGCGGCAGGCCUUACACAUGCAAGCCGAACGAGUGGCGGACGGGUGAGUAAUGUCUGGGAAACUGCCCGAUGGCGGGGGAGAACUACUGGAAACGGCAGCUAAUACCGCUUACCAUCGGAAGUGCCCAGAUGGGACGAGCUAGUAGGUGGGGUAACGGCUCACUUGGUCGACGACCCCUAGCUGGUCUGAGAGGAUGACGAGCCAGACUAGAGCUGAGACAGGGUCCAGACCCCUACGGCAGGCAGCAGUGGCGAAUAUUGCUCACUGGGCGCAGGCCUGGGACUGCCAUGCCGCGUGUAUGAAGGAGGCCUUGGAGUUGUAAGGUCCUUUAAGCGAGGAGGCGUUACGCGCAGGAGGAGCACCGGCUAACUCCGCGCCAGCAGCCGCGGUAAUUC
rnacentral:rRNA from 1 species